rnacentral:rRNA from 1 species
UACGGGGGGAGCAAGCGUUGUUCGGAUUUACUGGGCGUAAAGGGCGCGUAGGCGGUCACGACAAGUCAGUUGUGAAAUCUCCGGGCUUAACUCGGAACGGUCAACUGAUACUGUCGGACUAGAGUGCAGAAGGGGCAACUGGAAUUCUCGGUGUAGCGGUGAAAUGCGUAGAUAUCGGGAGGAACACCGGUGGCGAAGGCGGCCUUCUGGACGGAUACUGACGCUGAGGCGCGAAAGCGUGGGGAGCAAACAGG